rnacentral:rRNA from 1 species
UACGUAGGGGGGCGAGCGUUAUCCGGAUUUACUGGGCGUAAAGCGCGUUAAGGCGGUCGGCAAAGUUGGUUGUGAAAUCCCAGGGCUCGACCCUGAAAUUGCGACCAAUACUGGUCGACUAGAGUGCAAGAGAGGAAGGUGGAAUUCCCGGUGUAGUAGUGAAAUGCGUAGAUAUCGGGAGGAACACCAGUGGCGAAGGCGGCCUCUGGCUUGUAACUGACGCUGUAGCGCGAAAGCGUGGGGAGCGAACCGG